rnacentral:rRNA from 1 species
UACGGGGGGGGCAGGCGUUGUUCGGAAUUACUGGGCGUAAAGGGCUCGUAGGUGGCCAACUAAGUCAGACGUGAAAUCCCUCGGCUUAACCGGGGAACUGCGUCUGAUACUGGAUGGCUUGAGUUUGGGAGAGGGACGCGGAAUCCCAGGUGUAGCGGUGAAAUGCGUAGAUAUCUGGAGGAACACCGGUGGCGAAGGCGGCGUCCUGGACCAACACUGACACUGAGGAGCGAAAGCCAGGGGAGCAAACGGG